CCUACGGGUGGCAGCAGUAGGGAAUAUUGCUCAAUGGGGGAAACCCUGAAGCAGCAACGCCGCGUGGGGGAUGAAGGUUUUCGGAUUGUAAACUCCUUUUGUUAGAGAAGAUAAUGACGGUAUCUAACGAAUAAGCACCGGGUAACUCCGUGCCAGCAGCCGCCGUAAUACGGAGGGUGCAAGCGUUACUCGGAAUCACUGGGCGUAAAGAGCGCGUAGGCGGGAUAGCAAGUCAGAUGGGAAAUCCUAGGGCUUAACCAUAGAACUGCAUUUGAAACUGUUAUUCUAGAGUAUGGGAGAGGUAGGUGGAAUGCUUGGUGUAGGGGUAAAAUCCGUAGAGAUCAAGAGGAAUACUCAUGGCGAAGGCGACCUGCUAGAACGUAACUGACGCUGAUGCGCGAAAGCGUGGGGAGCAAACAGGAUUAGAUACCCCAGUAGUC
rnacentral:rRNA from 1 species